rnacentral:rRNA from 1 species
CGCGACCCCCAGGUCAGGC